rnacentral:rRNA from 1 species
CACUCUAAGACUUAACUUAAAGCACCUCCUGCUCAAUGACAUAUUAAAUAGCCGCAGUUCUCUGUGCUAAGGUAGCAUAAUAAAUAGUCCACUAAUUAUGGAAUAGAAUGAAAGGAUAAACAAAUUUUCUUCUAUAACUUAAUUACACUAUAAACUUAAAUAAAAGUAAAAAUUCCUCUAUAUAUUUGAAAGACGAUAAGACCCUAAAGAACUUAACUUAUAGUUAAACUGGGGCGGUUUCAUCAACUAAUUCUUAUCUACUAUAAUCCCCUCACCUAUAUAUUUAUUAUACCAAGUUACCUUAGGGAUAACAGCACAAUUAGUAAUUAAAGCACUUAUUAAAUUACAAGAUUAUGACCUCGAUGUUGAAUUGUAAUAACUUCUACAAAGCAAAAAUUUACCAAGUAAGUCUGUUCGACUUUUAAAAUUUCACAUG